AGUGAACGCUGGCGGUAGGCCUAACACAUGCAAGUCGAACGGCAGCACAGUAAGAGCUUGCUCUUACGGGUGGCGAGUGGCGGACGGGUGAGGAAUACAUCGGAAUCUACUUUUUCGUGGGGGAUAACGUAGGGAAACUUACGCUAAUACCGCAUACGACCUACGGGUGAAAGCAGGGGAUCUUCGGACCUUGCGCGAUUGAAUGAGCCGAUGUCGGAUUAGCUAGUUGGCGGGGUAAAGGCCCACCAAGGCGACGAUCCGUAGCUGGUCUGAGAGGAUGACCGGCCACACUGGAACUGAAACACGGCCCAGACUCCAACGGGAGGAAGCAGUGGGGAAUUUUGAACAAGGGGCGAAGGCCUGACCGAGCCAUCCCGGGGGAGUGAAGAAGGCCUUCGGUUUGUAAAACCUUUUUGUGGGAAAAAAAAAACAGCGGUUAAACCCCCGCCUGUUCUGAGGUUACCAAAUAAAAAAGCCCCGGCUAACUCCGUG
rnacentral:rRNA from 1 species